UCGCUCUUUUUUGUGCCGGUGCGGCUACUUGGGUGGUGGUUUGCAGUUUGCAGUUUGUGCAGUUUGCGUUGUCCUAGAGCGGUGUGCAUUGAUUUUUGAGCAGGGUGUCCCAG
ensembl:ncRNA H15M21.1 ncRNA